CUCUGGGAAGCAGAGCAUUCUGUUCGGCACACGCCACCGCUGCAGAGCUGAAGCUAGCUCACGCCUGAGUAAAAUAGGCAAGCUACUCUUUUGCUAAGUACAAACGAUUUUAUAGAUUGCCUCUUGCGAAGGUGACUUGGAUAUAUUCUAGCAUUAAAAUUUAAUAGUAUCUGCAGCAGAUUUCUUUCACCCCCCCCCCAUCCGUUGUUCUUUCAGUAUGGGCAGUGCUUAUAUGGAGAUUCGUUUACUGAAAAGUGGGAGGAGAUUGACAGACAAAAUCUCUCAUCUAUUUUUUUUUUCCUUGAGAGCGAAGCUUCUGCACAAAGGAAGGAGCUGGGUAUUUGUCCAGUGAACACACACUUGGAUGCUGCCUCCUCCUCUAAUGUGGGAACACUUGCCAAAAAAUCAGAAUUUGCCCUGGCGUCUUCCAGUUUUAUUAAGCACAAAUGGGCAGAUUGUUUGAAAUGGAUAUGAUGAACCAUGAUGAACUUUAUUUCACUGCGCUUUUAAAUAACAUCAUGCCAACACUCUUCUACAAUGGAUGAACAUGAGGAAGUAUAUUUAAGAUGAAGCUAAUGAGGCCUCCAGCAAGAUGCAUUCACAAUGAACUCCAAGUGCUGGUAAGAUUGCAUAUACGGAGGCGCAAGAAAGUCCUGGCACUUCUCCAUACAAGACCUCCAGAGAAGACAGUAGGUGUGCAUCCAACAUUUUAUUAUGUAGUGCAGCCAUUUCUUUCUUGCUCCGACAUAUACAUGUCGCUCUGUCGGUUCCCAAGGGCAACUUUGAUCAUAGUGAGCCUCAUGUUAUGAGCAGUUCUACCAGUAUCUUCACAGCUUAUCUGGGAUCUCUUAAGAUGAUAAAUAUGUAAUAGAACUGCUGGAUAUGCAGACAUCCUUAAAGGUUAGUGAUGAGAAAAGAUAAUAGAGACUAAGCCCUAGAAUUACCACAAUAAAAACAAUGCAGAAAUUAAUUAGCCUUUAUAUUAGAGGCUUCUUUAGUUAAAUUAUUUUUGAAAGAAAAAAUAACUCAAAAUGCAACUAUAUUAAAAACAGAGUGUCCAGAUCAAAUGAUAAACCUAAUACCAUUACACCAAUAAGGAACAACAUUACUUUCUUUAUAAUGUGCACUUUAUAAUUACCAAACGAUAUGUAUAUAUUUAUAAACAUUUCAUAGUCCCACAUAUGGGAUUAUCUGCCUAGCGAGCAGAACAUCAUACUGAAACCAUUUCAGGACACUAGCUUCAACUAGAAGCAGCUGCAUGCAUUUCGUUUUUUGCUGCGUUGGUUGCUUUGUGUGUUUUCUCUUCCAGCUUCUAUUAUGUGACCUGAAUCAGGUAUACAACUCACAUUGUUAUAACUACACCAGAAAAGAUUAUGUUCUUGGGAAUCACUAGCUGCAAGAGAUAAAAGAUUUAGUUCUGUUUCCAGACUUUGCAAACCUGUCAUCUUCCAGCUGUCACAACUGUUCUCUGGGAAGAGGUUUCCCUGGACUACCAUCUCAAAUCAAUGAAUAUCUACAUGCAAAGCUGUCAGAUUCUGUUACUUUGUGUCUCGACUGCCUCCCCACAAUUUGCUCUCAAGAGAUGUAUUUUAUUUUAAAACCUAUACAGCUACAUGCUUUUGAAUGUGCUUUCAGACUACUAAUAUCUAUUUCAGGUCAACACACAAGUGAAAAUAAGAGAUUGUAAGAAUCCAGUCAAGAUCUGCAUUAGGAAAUAUAUAGCAAACAUGCCAAACUAGUAAAACAAACACAACCAUAGAAUCAGACAUAGGUAUCAUAAUUCUGCCAGAUGCAUUGUCAUACAGAAACUGUUGUGGUUUCUCUGGUUGCUGUUUAUGUUGUGUUUUGCUAUAGAAAAACAUAUCUGGACAAAUGUGAACCAUGCAGUAGGUAAGAGUUCAUCUUAUAAAAUUAUAAUUUGGUGAUCAUGGGUUAAAUGAUGGAGAUAACAUAUUUGCUUUGGAAGUUUAUAUGGUAUAUCUAUGUAAAUUCAACACCAAUCUCUUUGUUUGCUUAGGGGUUCGAUAUGUAUAUAGCCACGGAAUUCCAAUGAUUUACUUUGUUAUCAAAUAUGAUUCUGCAGUCAAGUAAUAUGUAUCACUUGUCUAAAGCUUUGUAAUACAAAAGUGGCAUAUACAUAUACUGUAUGGUAUAUAUAUAAAAGCUUUGGUAUUUUUUUGCUUUAAGAUGUUGAAUAUGUGAAUCUUGCAUCUGGAGAGAACAUGAAGAGUUAGCAUGUUAGGACAGACCAGAGUGAACCCUAAUUUAUGUACCUAUAUGAUAAUAGAUAAUGAACUUUUGGGGAUGUUGUGUUAAUUGCGUAUUUGUUAUAUAACAGUAAGCAUCACUUUUCAGUUCAAAAAUACCCAUUAACAUUUUUAUAACAUAAAAAACAUUUAAAAAGAGUUGGGUGAAGCAAGAGAUGUUAAGAAAACAUUACCAAAAGAUAAAAACAACUCCACAUGAUUGGAACGGUAUUCAAGGCUAACAGAGGUUUGCAGUAUCUAUACAAGCCAAAACAUAUUUUAUACUACAAUUACUGCCCUACCUAUUUGCAAUCCUCAAAUAAUGACUUGAUGUUAAUUAUCAGUCUUUAGAAUACAGUACAGUUAAAAGGAAAAAGCAUCAUGGAGCACAAUAAUGUGGUAUGCGACAAGGUUCAGCUAUUUUGAUCUGCUGUUAGGCUCAAAAUGAUCUGCAGAUGUUGUGUUUGAGCAGAUUAUCUAGCAAAAGGCAAUUUACUUUGUGCGGAUAAUUAGCAGCCAAAAGUUAGAAAGCACAUUUGAAUCUGAAAUAGGCUUUUCACACUACUUUUAUGUUUGAGACAAUUAAGCAAAUUGAUUUUACAAUGCUAUAUGCUCUUGUUUAUUUAUUUAUUUUCCUGGUCUUCGUUUACUCUUUUACUCAACGACACCACCCAAUAAUUUGCUUCAAGAAAGAUACCACAGCUAUUUUGAUGACAUAAUGCAUAUUUAUUUUAAACAAGGUCAUUUAUAAUUUUUAACAUUUAAAAAGGCUUAUUAACAGUUUCUAUUAUUUCUCCUUUAACAUUCUCUGUAAAUCUCCAUAUCACCUCCUAGAUCCCUCCUACUAAUCUAGCUACCUCCUGUUGAUUUUGGUUUAAUGACCCCCCUCCAAGAAAGGCUUGAAUUGGGGCAUGGACUAGCCAUGACAGUGGGGUAUGACAUCACUAUACGUAUCACUUGGAACAAAAUGUUGGAAUAUUCCAGUUCUCUUUUACAGGCAUGUUAAUCACAGAAAUAUGCAAGGUACCAUGGGAACUGGAGUCUUGGUUGGAGGAGAGUUUACUGCUGUUCAAUUAUUCCAAUGGUACAUGAAGUCAGAAGUGACGCAGGGCAAUGUGCAGGGAAUUGCAUAUUGAAGACAGAUACUGCUUUAAAUAGCAAUUACACAUACAAAUAACUAGCCCACUCUAUUUAAUGAAUCAAUCUCACAUUACUUUGGUAAAAGGCCAUUUUGAUCCAACCUGCAGCUUGACCACUUUAGAGCUGACUCAAUGCCUUAUGUUUGUGUUCCACUUGCAUGUCUUGCAAUUACCUUUGGAACAUUUGUGGAAAGCUUUAACAGCGAGACACAAUAAAUGCAUGCACUGGAAGGAAAUUAGAGCAUUAAGCCCAGGAGAG